rnacentral:lncRNA from 1 species
AUGAGGAUACUUCUUUAUGAAUUGUGCUUAAUUUUCUUACCUGGGAGAAAUGAAGCUGGCUAUAACACUCAUCUAGGAUGGUUGUUAGCUUAUGAACAUGAUGCUGGCCUUACUGAAGACAAGGUGAUGUGCUAUGAUUAUCACAGUAUGGUACUGAAGAAGGACACAGAAGGCUGCAACAAUAAUGAGAUGGUAGGCUUUGCCCAGCAUAAAGGCCUGGUUCUUAGAGGAGGGACACCAUCUGGACAGUGGUGGCUCUUCUAGCCAAUCAGCUGAUCAGAGAUAAAUAGAAGAUUUACUCCACUAGCUAGUUACUGGUUCUGAUGUCCUUGGAAAGCUGAAAGUAAGUCAUGCACUAAAGAGGUUGUCUAGAAUGUCUUCUGAUGCUUUGUGCCUAUAACUAGUGUAUCACAGGAACCCUAGCCUGACAGAGGUAAGGCCACAGUGGGCUCAUACUAUAAAGAGAUGAAAAUCUCUGGCACUAUAGCAGACACAAAUCCUAAUCCAGUGUAAGUUCAGGGUGAAGAAAUCUAGAACUAAAGAGAUAGGAGGGAACUGAUAAAUAUGAAUUAUGAUAGACUUUUGUUUCCUGUCAAAGAAACACCUGCACACUGUAAAUAAUAGCUUGUAUUUUCCAUGGAUUCAUAAUCCAUUUUUCCUGCUUUCAUGGUGUGAUGGAAACUAAGCACACACUAUAAUUGUUUCAUCUAUCAUGGGGCAUCCUACAAAACCUGAAAAAUUAAGGUUUAAUUGAAAUUCUGAGUUACAAUCAUAUUUUAUGAUAUCAUAUAGAGGUUAUAUAUAACACCAGAAAGCACAGAAUAUAAUUGCUACUUAAUUUUAGCAUAGUGUAUUCUAUGCUAUGCAAAGGGAUAAAGUUUGGUAUAUGCUAAUAAUUAUCACUAAAUUCUUAUACUAAAACAGGCUUGGGGUAAUUUGCACUUUGUUUCUCAAUUAAUUAUUGAUUAUUCAUG